GUGAAUCAUCAAAUUUUUGAACGCAAAUUGCACUCUCUUCGGAGAGUAUGCCUGUUUGAGGGUCAGCCUAAAAAAAUCGACAUCGUUGCUUUUUCCCGGGUGCGUUCGGCGGAAAUUGGGUUAUCUUAAAUCUUUUGGUUAAGCGACUUAAAAUUUUCUUUACGGUUCCAUUGACGGUUCCAAGAUUUAUUUCUUUACACGGUUUAGGUAUCGGUUUUUUUAGGCGUUGUUG
rnacentral:misc_RNA from 1 species